UUGUUUUUAAAAGCAUUUAGGAAUCUCAUGAAUAGGUUCCAUACUGAAGAACAAUGCUGCAAGAUCAGCUCUGGGCUUUUAAUGCAAUGAUAUAUAAUUGGAGCCCAAAUAGUCAUUCUAGAUUGAUGCUCUCGGCUCUCUGUGCUGCUGAAUUAGAAGGGAUGAAUGAUGAGGUACUGCUGGAAUUCACUCCUCUUCAUGGAGCACAGCCGUCAUCUGCAGUCAGGCAUCAGUGUUGACAUUUGCUUUUAAAAAGGCCAGGGAUUAGGACACAUGGAGCCAGCUGCUUUCUAAGCUGUGAAGUAAGAGCCACAAUCAAGAGAUCACUGAGGCUCACUGCCAAACCUAGAUGAGAUCUGACUUGUCGAUGGCAGAAGAUUGGUUGCACUGCAUUAUAAUAAUACGUUUUUUGAAAGAGAAUAUGAAAAGAGAUGAGACUGCAGAGAAUUCUGCAAGGAACAGUGCUCAUUCCCAUUCAGAAUUACAAUGAGGAAAUGUCUCCGAUACAGGCAACAGCUUGAACUUGUUUUCACCCAAGUAACUCAUUAAGGGAGAGGCUCAGAAGCAUUGCCAUGGGGGCAGAGAGCUGCUGCAAGAGGGCAACUGAAAUGUCAUCAUCAACUGCAGCACUGCGAGAUCUAUUCAAAAAGACCUGCAAAUGGGAUGGAAAUGGAAUUGCACUUUAGGGCAAGAAGAGAAGAAGUCACAGCACUUGUGGUCUGUUUUCAGUUCACCAGGGCUACAAACUACAGCAGCUUCCCUGCAAAGUCUGCAGUAAUGUGCAAACAGAAAUAAGCGCUAAGGGAAAAAAAGUUUGGGACAACACUGGCCUGAUGCUAUCAGUGAGCUGAUCCUGUGCCUGCUGAUGUGCAGUACCACGACUGAGGAGAUAAUAUUGACUAUUCAGCUGGGUUUGUACAUCUCAGAGACUCAGUUCUCUAGAGAGGGAUGUUUACAAUUGCACAAAGGUGAACAGUAAAAAAUGGGACAGGUUCAUGGACUAGGCUUUAAACAGCACUCCAGGUAAGCACAGCACAGACGAGGGGUCUGCUUGACAGAGAAGCUUGUCUGGCAUGGCUGUGUGCCAGCGGCUUCUUCAUGGUUUUGGGUAGGACUGGGCAUGGGCAUGGGCAGAGCCAUGCAUGGCAGGUUGCCCGAUGCUCCUGUGCUAGAGCCCUGGUGGCAUUGCUGCUGCUCUCCCUGUUGUGUUAUCUCACCCUCAGCCUCCCCUCUCCUUCCCACAGUGGGAACACAGCUGCACCCAGCCCCUUAUCCUGCGUUGGACAACAUUAAAUUUGCCUACAGUGCUGAUGGGUUUUAAGCUGCAUCUGCACCAAGAGCACCAGGUACCCUGUGCCAACAGCAACAACGUUCAUGUGAUCUGUGGUUUCCAUGCCAGACAAUUCUAUGGGACUUGAGUGCGGCGGUUUCUUACCUUCCAGUGAGCCAGCCCUCAUUUGCUAGCAGCCAGUCUUCAUCAGGGGUCAUUCCUUGUUAUCAUUGCAUUUGCUGGAGCUGGAACUCUGGAUGAGUCCCUUCCCCGUGCCUCAGUUUCACCAUCUGUACAAACAAGCGAAUGCAAGGGGUCUUCCGGCUUGGGUUCCCACAUGGAAAACUGGAUACACUGAUACGUGUAGGAAUUUCUUGGCUAGAAACACACCAUGUCUUUAGAAGCAUAACCAGAGGGACUGUCCUGCUAAAUAGUCACAAGCAUGUGACUGUGCACAAUUCUUCAAAGGAGACAUCUUAACCUGCAGCCAUCCCUCACUGGUGUGUCUACAAAUACUGUUUUCAGUGCCUUUCUGUUUCUGUUGCUCUUGGAUUCCUUCACCACUGAAAAACGCUCUGGAUAAAGUGAUGGCCAGGCUGAGCAGGUGGAAUGCGUCCAUGGGCGUGGAAGUCAGGCCUGCCCAGCCUUGGGAUGCCCGUGGCAUCAGGACACGACUGCGUGGCCACGUCGUCCAGCCAGGCCCAUCACAGCUUGAGGAGCAGCCCGAGAAGCCUUGGUCAGCGCUGGCGCAGGCUGUUCCUGAUGGCAGCAGCCGGCCAGGGGCUCUGCAGCUGCUGAGGUGUUGGUGCGACCACCCACACUUUUGGUCCCUCGCUGGUGCCCGGCCCUGCCCAUAGCUGCAGAGAGCCUGCAAGAGCCGCUCUGCCAGUGCAGGGAGCCCACAUGGGGCCAUUGGGAUGCCCCAGCACCCAGCGCCAGCACCCUCGGCCCCCUCCAGCCCCGCAUACCCAGAGCAACUGGAAACCACUUGUCUGCCAACGCCCCAUGAGCUCACAGCAAAUGCAAAGAGAUCUUGGGUCAGAAGAACAUCAAGAAACGUAUUUACAGAACAACAAACAACAGAAAACACAACACAACAAACUAAAACUCUUCAACAAAAACCUACACCUAUUCUACUUUAAACUACAAUUCUUCUUCUACAAACUACAACUAUUCUACUUAAAACUUCAACAAACUCUUCUAUAACGAACUCCAACUCUUCUACAAAAAAAACCAAGUCUUCUAUGAAGUACAAAUCUUCUAAAAAAACCGACAUCUCUUCUUCCUGAAAUUUCUUCCUGCUCCAUGAAGAUCCCCAUCUCGGUCGGCCCUGAAAGCAAGCAGCACAAGGUCAUUUCAGUGAGUCUACUGAUGAUGACUGUGUUUGCCACAGCCUGGGACAUGCUGGGGAGAGCGCGACUCUGCUGCGGGGCUCAGCCCUGGCUGGGGCUGGGAGCCGGGCUCUACACGAUGAGACUUGGCUCGCGUGGCCCAGAGGCAGCACAGUGCAGUGCAGUGGUGGUGCUUGUGCCACCAGGACAGCGUGGUGACCACGCACCGUAUCCCUGCAGCAGGGUCAGCCCCAGCGUGGCAGCAGCCGGCCCACGCUCACUGCCAGCAGUGGAUGGGGGCAUGUGCUGUCUGCCCACUGGUUAGUCCACCUCCAUGUCCUCCACCUCCUCCAAAUCCACAUCCACCUCCAUCACCUCCUCCUCCUGCAGCCCCACUUGGAUCCUGCUGGCAGCCUCCUCCUCCAGCUCCAGCAUGUGUUGGAACAGCCUAAGGGAAAAGCCAAGCAGAAGAGUGCAUCAGUGCUGCCCUGGGCUGUGGGAAGGGGGUCUGGGCACCCGGCCCCCUCUCGCUGCCCAGGCAGGGCCGUGGGGUGCUGGGGCCCCAGGCACGUCCCCAGCAGAAGCUGUCGGGAGGCCGGGGGCUCCUUGGCCAGCAGCACCCACCAGCUCUGACAGGCUGGCGCGUGCAGCUGGAGGAUCCUGCGCCUGCUGCGCUUCAGCACCUUGUGGAGCGGUAACGGCUUGAGGACCUGCCAGAGCAGAGAGGGCAGAGGUGAGCGGCCGUGCUCCCCGCCUGCGGGACCCGGGCAUAGACACGGCCCCGCGCCUGCCUCGGCACCCACAUGCUCCUUACUCUGCGUAGGCAGCUCUUUGCGUCCUCGCUGGGCUCGGCCACCAGCAGGAUAAAGGUGGUCUUCCUGUGGGGCUGCAUGGUGGCACCGAGAUGGGGACCGUGGAGCAGGGAACCGCAGACAAGGCCCAGCGGUAGGUUAGAAGGGCUGGGAGUAGGGCAGAAGGGCUUGGGGGCCCAGGAAGGGUCAGAGGGAGCACAGGAGAAGCGUAGGGUGCAGGGGCGAAGUUCUGUGUUGUGCGUCUCACUGGUAACGGGCAGUUCCCAGUGGAUCACGGGCUGCAACAUCACAGCUCCGUGACACCGCAGUUCCGGAACUGCUGUGCAUCAGGGGAUGGGGACGAGCCCUGAAGGGGCUGCAGCUUCAUGGGGCACAUGCGGCAAUCCUAACUUUACUUCUUGAGAUGACUGAAAUAAAUACACUCUUGUGCUUCAGUAGACAAUAAACUGGUUGAACCCUGCGCUGGCCAACUCCAUGGGGCCAGGACCAUCUCCAUUGCUCUUUCACUGUCCCACGAUCAGCCCGAGAGCGAGCUGAGCAGCGCCGAUGUGCUGCAGUUGGGAUGCAUCCAUGGGGGUGGAAUUCAGGCCUGCCCGGCCUCGAGGUGCCCGCGGCGUCAGGACACGGCUGUGUGGCCAAGUCCUCCAGCCGGGCUCGUCAUGGGUGAGCCUGUGUGAGACCCUGCACGCCACGCACAGUGAAGGCAGCGAGGGCAGGACAAGAUGUGCUGCCAGCAGCGUGUGGCGAGGGCUGCCUGCUUCAGGAGGGGCCUGCAACAGCUCCGGGCCUUGAACUCUCAUGUCCCCGUCUGCAUUUGCACGCACACCUCCUGCAUGCAGCAGCUCCCCCUGCACCCCGCUGCCAGUUCCCUCUGGGAAGCGCCCCCUCCCUCCCUGCUUGCCAGGUCCCCGCAUGACAGUACCGGCGGGUGACCCUGGCCCUGUCUGCAGCCCCCCAACCUCCAAUGUCCCCACGCACGUCCGGCCCCAAACCCUCUUCCACCGUGCAGGCUCGGGACGAGGGUUCUCAGCAGAGAGAGAGGGAGGUAAAAGGUUUGGUUUGGGCAGCAGGAUCAAACAGGAUGCCGGGUGCAGGCUGCAUCCUGCAGUGACCUGGGCCUGGGCACUCUGUGAUUCUAUGAUUCCUUGACUGAUUCCUCAUACAUGGCUGUGUUUCCCCCAGCUUGAGGAGCAGCCCGAGAAGCCUUGGUCAGCGCUGGCGCAGGCUGUUCCUGAUGGCAGCAGCCGGCCAGGGGCUCUGCAGCUGCUGAGGUGUUGGUGCGACCACCCACACUUUUGGUCCCUCGCUGGUGCCCGGCCCUGCCCAUAGCUGCAGAGAGCCUGCAAGAGCCGCUCUGCCAGUGCAGGGAGCCCACAUGGGGCCAUUGGGAUGCCCCAGCACCCAGCGCCAGCACCCUCGGCCCCCUCCAGCCCCGCAUACCCAGAGCAACUGGAAACCACUUGUCUGCCAACGCCCCAUGAGCUCACAGCAAAUGCAAAGAGAUCUUGGGUCAGAAGAACAUCAAGAAACGUAUUUACAGAACAACAAACAACAGAAAACACAACACAACAAACUAAAACUCUUCAACAAAAACCUACACCUAUUCUACUUUAAACUACAAUUCUUCUUCUACAAACUACAACUAUUCUACUUAAAACUUCAACAAACUCUUCUAUAACGAACUCCAACUCUUCUACAAAAAAAACCAAGUCUUCUAUGAAGUACAAAUCUUCUAAAAAAACCGACAUCUCUUCUUCCUGAAAUUUCUUCCUGCUCCAUGAAGAUCCCCAUCUCGGUCGGCCCUGAAAGCAAGCAGCACAAGGUCAUUUCAGUGAGUCUACUGAUGAUGACUGUGUUUGCCACAGCCUGGGACAUGCUGGGGAGAGCGCGACUCUGCUGCGGGGCUCAGCCCUGGCUGGGGCUGGGAGCCGGGCUCUACACGAUGAGACUUGGCUCGCGUGGCCCAGAGGCAGCACAGUGCAGUGCAGUGGUGGUGCUUGUGCCACCAGGACAGCGUGGUGACCACGCACCGUAUCCCUGCAGCAGGGUCAGCCCCAGCGUGGCAGCAGCCGGCCCACGCUCACUGCCAGCAGUGGAUGGGGGCAUGUGCUGUCUGCCCACUGGUUAGUCCACCUCCAUGUCCUCCACCUCCUCCAAAUCCACAUCCACCUCCAUCACCUCCUCCUCCUGCAGCCCCACUUGGAUCCUGCUGGCAGCCUCCUCCUCCAGCUCCAGCAUGUGUUGGAACAGCCUAAGGGAAAAGCCAAGCAGAAGAGUGCAUCAGUGCUGCCCUGGGCUGUGGGAAGGGGGUCUGGGCACCCGGCCCCCUCUCGCUGCCCAGGCAGGGCCGUGGGGUGCUGGGGCCCCAGGCACGUCCCCAGCAGAAGCUGUCGGGAGGCCGGGGGCUCCUUGGCCAGCAGCACCCACCAGCUCUGACAGGCUGGCGCGUGCAGCUGGAGGAUCCUGCGCCUGCUGCGCUUCAGCACCUUGUGGAGCGGUAACGGCUUGAGGACCUGCCAGAGCAGAGAGGGCAGAGGUGAGCGGCCGUGCUCCCCGCCUGCGGGACCCGGGCAUAGACACGGCCCCGCGCCUGCCUCGGCACCCACAUGCUCCUUACUCUGCGUAGGCAGCUCUUUGCGUCCUCGCUGGGCUCGGCCACCAGCAGGAUAAAGGUGGUCUUCCUGUGGGGCUGCAUGGUGGCACCGAGAUGGGGACCGUGGAGCAGGGAACCGCAGACAAGGCCCAGCGGUAGGUUAGAAGGGCUGGGAGUAGGGCAGAAGGGCUUGGGGGCCCAGGAAGGGUCAGAGGGAGCACAGGAGAAGCGUAGGGUGCAGGGGCGAAGUUCUGUGUUGUGCGUCUCACUGGUAACGGGCAGUUCCCAGUGGAUCACGGGCUGCAACAUCACAGCUCCGUGACACCGCAGUUCCGGAACUGCUGUGCAUCAGGGGAUGGGGACGAGCCCUGAAGGGGCUGCAGCUUCAUGGGGCACAUGCGGCAAUCCUAACUUUACUUCUUGAGAUGACUGAAAUAAAUACACUCUUGUGCUUCAGUAGACAAUAAACUGGUUGAACCCUGCGCUGGCCAACUCCAUGGGGCCAGGACCAUCUCCAUUGCUCUUUCACUGUCCCACGAUCAGCCCGAGAGCGAGCUGAGCAGCGCCGAUGUGCUGCAGUUGGGAUGCAUCCAUGGGGGUGGAAUUCAGGCCUGCCCGGCCUCGAGGUGCCCGCGGCGUCAGGACACGGCUGUGUGGCCAAGUCCUCCAGCCGGGCUCGUCAUGGGUGAGCCUGUGUGAGACCCUGCACGCCACGCACAGUGAAGGCAGCGAGGGCAGGACAAGAUGUGCUGCCAGCAGCGUGUGGCGAGGGCUGCCUGCUUCAGGAGGGGCCUGCAACAGCUCCGGGCCUUGAACUCUCAUGUCCCCGUCUGCAUUUGCACGCACACCUCCUGCAUGCAGCAGCUCCCCCUGCACCCCGCUGCCAGUUCCCUCUGGGAAGCGCCCCCUCCCUCCCUGCUUGCCAGGUCCCCGCAUGACAGUACCGGCGGGUGACCCUGGCCCUGUCUGCAGCCCCCCAACCUCCAAUGUCCCCACGCACGUCCGGCCCCAAACCCUCUUCCACCGUGCAGGCUCGGGACGAGGGUUCUCAGCAGAGAGAGAGGGAGGUAAAAGGUUUGGUUUGGGCAGCAGGAUCAAACAGGAUGCCGGGUGCAGGCUGCAUCCUGCAGUGACCUGGGCCUGGGCACUCUGUGAUUCUGUGAUUCCAUGACUGAUUCCUCAUACAUGGCUGUGUUUCCCCCAGCUUGAGGAGCAGCCCGAGAAGCCUUGGUCAGCGCUGGCGCAGGCUGUUCCUGAUGGCAGCAGCCGGCCAGGGGCUCUGCAGCUGCUGAGGUGUUGGUGCGACCACCCACACUUUUGGUCCCUCGCUGGUGCCCGGCCCUGCCCAUAGCUGCAGAGAGCCUGCAAGAGCCGCUCUGCCAGUGCAGGGAGCCCACAUGGGGCCAUUGGGAUGCCCCAGCACCCAGCGCCAGCACCCUCGGCCCCCUCCAGCCCCGCAUACCCAGAGCAACUGGAAACCACUUGUCUGCCAACGCCCCAUGAGCUCACAGCAAAUGCAAAGAGAUCUUGGGUCAGAAGAACAUCAAGAAACGUAUUUACAGAACAACAAACAACAGAAAACACAACACAACAAACUAAAACUCUUCAACAAAAACCUACACCUAUUCUACUUUAAACUACAAUUCUUCUUCUACAAACUACAACUAUUCUACUUAAAACUUCAACAAACUCUUCUAUAACGAACUCCAACUCUUCUACAAAAAAAACCAAGUCUUCUAUGAAGUACAAAUCUUCUAAAAAAACCGACAUCUCUUCUUCCUGAAAUUUCUUCCUGCUCCAUGAAGAUCCCCCAUCUCGGUCGGCCCUGAAAGCAAGCAGCACAAGGUCAUUUCAGUGAGUCUACUGAUGAUGACUGUGUUUGCCACAGCCUGGGACAUGCUGGGGAGAGCGCGACUCUGCUGCGGGGCUCAGCCCUGGCUGGGGCUGGGAGCCGGGCUCUACACGAUGAGACUUGGCUUGCGUGGCCCAGAGGCAGCACAGUGCAGCACUGUGGUGGUGCUUGUGCCCCAGGACAGCAUGUUCACUGCGCACCAUAUCCCUGCAGCAGGGUCAGCCCCAGCGUGGCAGCAGCUGGCCCACGCUCACUGCCAGCAGUGGAUGGGGGCAUGUGCUGUCUGCCCACUGGUUAGUCCACCUCCAUGUCCUCCACCUCCUCCAAAUCCACAUCUGCCUCCAUCACCUCCUCCUCCUGCAGCCCCACUUGGAUCCUGCUGGCAGCCUCCUCCUCCGGCCCCAGCAUGUGUUGGAACAGCUCUGACAGGCUGGCGCGUGCAGCUGGAGGAUCCUGCGCCUGCUGCGCUUCAGCACCUUGUGGAGCGGUAACGGCUUGAGGACCUGCCAGAGCAGAGAGGCCGGGGUGAUCGGCAGUGCUUCCUGCCUGCGGGACCCGGGCACAGAUGCCUCCCUGUGCCUGCCUCGGCACCCACAGGCUCCUUACUCUGCAUAGGCAGCUCUUUGCAUCCUCGCUCCAGCAAGGGCUGGGCUCGGCCACCAGCAGGACAAAGGUGGUCUUCCUAUGGGGCUGCAUGGCAGCACCGAGAUGGGGACCGUGGAGCAGGGAACCACAGACAAGGCCAGGCGGUAGGUUAGAAGGGCUGGGAGUAGGGCAGAGAGCUGGGAGCAGGGCAGAAGGGCUUGGGGGUCCAGGAAGGGUCAGAGGGAGCACAGGAGAAGCGUAGGGUGCAGGGGCGAAGGUCUGUGUUGUGCGUCUCACUGGUAACGGGCAGUUGCCGGUGGAACAUGGGCUGCGACAUCACAGUUCCGUGACACCGCAGUUCUGGAACUGCUGUGCAGCAGGGGAUGGGGACGAGCCCUGAAGGGGCUGCAGCUUCAUGGGGCACAUGCGGCAAUCCGAACUUUACCUCUUGAGGUGAUUGAAAUACACUCUUGUGCUUCAGUAGACAAUAAACUGGUUGAACCCUGCACUGGCCAACUCCAUGGGGCCAGGACCAUUUCCAUUGCCCUUUCACUGUCCCAUGAACAGCCCGAGAGCGAGCUGAGCAGUGCUGAUGUGCUGCAGUUGGGAUGCGUCCAUGGGGGUGGAAUUCAGCCCUGCCUGGCCUUGAGGUGC